rnacentral:lncRNA from 1 species
AACAGCCCAAGGGCAGUCUUACACAUAACACAGAUAACAAGGACUAGAUACGCAACUGCAAAUUCACCUCCGAAAAACUCACAACGGUUUCUUACAAGAGGAGAAAGAAAUUAAAAUUAAAGGUUCCAUGAUGGACCGGAAACAAACACUUUAUUCACAAAACCUCACAACAUUAUCUCAUUAUUCGCAUCAACCAUCCAUCACAACCACCUAAAUACAACUACUUUUUUGCCAGAGUUUAUUUGCAUGCACACAGCUGAUGAGUGAUGAUGCCUGUUAUUACCAAAUUAAGCAUCAGCAGUCUCAGCAGAAUCAGCUGCAGCUAAGAUCAGCUCAGGGUGAACGCCUCCCACAUAUGUACCGUCUAAUGCAUUCGGCUGGCCCAGUGACUUCAACGCCAAAUGCGCAGCCUUCUGCCCCGAUAUCAUCAUUGCUCCAAAUGUUGGCCCCUGCAUUCAGAUUCUUACGUUUGUUACUUAUUUGUACACAUUAUCAAACAUUAUAUCAAGAAACCGUUUUAAGAUUGAAGAGCAGCAACUUUCUUAAUCUAAGGCUGCUAAGAAACAGAGUCGUAAGCAUAUGUACCAUUCGAGGAGCACCAUCAAUCUCGGCAACUUCCAUGCCGGUAACUAUCAUACCAGGCACAACCUCCCUGGUCAGCCUCACAAUAGCAUCUUCUGCAGAGUUCAUGUCCAGUGCCUUCAUUCCAGGCACUUCCUCAAUCAUUCCGAUACUCUUCAACCUCUUUACUCCAGUGGCCCCAAAAGGCCCAUCAUGGCCACAAGAGCUCACAACCACCUUCGCUUCCAUUACAUUGGGAUCCAUGCAAGACUGUGUAUCGUGAUUCAUUGACACCAACGCCCAGUUGGUCACCACACCACCAACUCUGCCGCCUUUGACUAUCAAGUCCUCGGCUGCCACUGCAUUAAAGAGCUUGACGUUGGG